UAACACAUGCAAGUCGAGCGGAUGAAGGUAGCUUGCUACUGGAUUCAGCGGCGGACGGGUGAGUAAUGCUUAGGAAUCUGCCUAUUAGUGGGGGACAACGUUCCGAAAGGGGCGCUAAUACCGCAUACGUCCUACGGGAGAAAGCAGGGGACCUUCGGGCCUUGCGCUAAUAGAUGAGCCUAAGUCGGAUUAGCUAGUUGGUAGGGUAAAGGCCUACCAAGGCGACGAUCUGUAGCGGGUCUGAGAGGAUGAUCCGCCACACUGGGACUGAGACACGGCCCAGACUCCUACGGGAGGCAGCAGUGGGGAAUAUUGGACAAUGGGGGGAACCCUGAUCCAGCCAUGCCGCGUGUGUGAAGAAGGCCUUUUGGUUGUAAAGCACUUUAAGCGAGGAGGAGGCUACCUAGAUUAAUACUUUAGGAUAGUGGACGUUACUCGCAGAAUAAGCACCGGCUAACUCUGUGCCAGCAGCCGCGGUAAUACAGAGGGUGCGAGCGUUAAUCGGAUUUACUGGGCGUAAAGCGUGCGUAGGCGGCCAAUUAAGUCAAAUGUGAAAUCCCCGAGCUUAACUUGGGAAUUGCAUUCGAUACUGGUUGGCUAGAGUAUGGGAGAGGAUGGUAGAAUUCCAGGUGUAGCGGUGAAAUGCGUAGAGAUCUGGAGGAAUACCGAUGGCGAAGGC
rnacentral:rRNA from 1 species